CCUACGGGAGGCAGCAGUGGGGGAUAUUGCACAAUGGGGGAAACCCUGAUGCAGCGACGCCGCGUGGGCGAAGAAGUAUUUCGGUAUGUAAAGCCCUAUCAGCAGGGAAGAAGAAAUGACGGUACCUGAGUCAGAAGCACCGGCGAAAUACGUGCCAGCAGCCGCGGUAAUACGUAUGGUGCAAGCGUUAUCCGGAUUUACUGGGUGGAAAGGGAGCGCAGGCGGCACGGCAAGCCUGAUGUGAAAGCCCGCGGCCCAACCGCGGGACUGCAUUGGGAACUACCGGGCUGGAGUGCCGGAGAGGUAGGCGGAAUUCCUAGUGUAGCGGUGAAAUGCGUAGAUAUUAGGAGGAACACCAGUGGCGAAGGCGGCCUACUGGACGGUGACUGACGCUGAGGCUCGAAAGCGUGGGGAGCAAACAGGAUUAGAUACCCGUGUAGUC
rnacentral:rRNA from 1 species